AGAAAGAGAUGAACGUCUCAGACUUGAUGUGUACCCGAUCCUCGACACCUCCGACCUCAUCAUCCGUCGACUCAAUCAUAACCCUGUGGCAAUUCCUUCUAGAACUACUGCAACAAGACCAAAAUGGUGAUAUAAUCGAAUGGACACGCGGAACGGACGGCGAAUUCCGACUGAUUGAUGCAGAAGCCGUGGCGAGAAAGUGGGGACAACGGAAGGCGAAACCGCAUAUGAAUUAUGAUAAACUGUCGAGAGCGUUACGAUAUUAUUAUGAGAAGAAUAUUAUUAAGAAGG
rnacentral:sRNA from 1 species